GCCUCCGUAGCUCAGUUGGUAGAGCAGCUGACUUUUAAUCUGCGGGUCCGGAGUUCGAGUCUCCGCGGGGGCACCG
rnacentral:tRNA from 1 species